rnacentral:lncRNA from 1 species
AUGGUGAUGAACAUGAUGAUGAUGGAGAUUAAAGAAGAAAACGAUGGUUGCUGUACGCCGAAACGCUCCGAGUUUCGGAUACCGGAGUCGGUGGCGCCUCCUCCCGCGCCGAAAAAGAAGGCGUAUUGGGUGGGGAAGAAGAAGCCGCAGCCGCCGAAGAACGGGUAUUUCAACCCUCCUGAGCUUGAGCUGCUGUUUGCAGUAACUCCAACACGCCAAGCUUUGGAUUAA